rnacentral:rRNA from 1 species
UACAGAGGUCUCAAGCGUUGUUCGGAUUCAUUGGGCGUAAAGGGUGCGUAGGUGGCGUGGUAAGUCGGGUGUGAAAUUUCGGAGCUUAACUCCGAAACUGCAUUCGAUACUGCCGUGCUUGAGGACUGGAGAGGAGACUGGAAUUUACGGUGUAGCAGUGAAAUGCGUAGAGAUCGUAAGGAAGACCAGUGGCGAAGGCGGGUCUCUGGCCCGGACCUGACGCUGAGGCGACGAAAGCUAGGGGAGCAAACGGG